UUUACUAAACCUUGGCCCUGACCGCUGCAGUUUCCAGCCGUAAGAGAUGCAUCAGGUACUAUGUUUUUGUAGAGUCUAGAGAGUUUUAUUUCAGUCCAGAUUCUGAGACAAUGAUCAUCGCUGUAUCAUUUCACAUUUUCACCUCUGUUAAUCUGUUACGAUACAUUAUACUUCUGAUUGCUCAGUACGUCAGUAGUCAGUACGCUGAAUCUUUGGUCCUUCUCUGAUUGCCGCC
rnacentral:lncRNA from 1 species